rnacentral:tRNA from 1 species
GUANCGUUGGUCAAGUGGUUAAGACACCGCCCUUUCACGGCGGUAACACGGGUUCGAAUCCCGUACGGGUCA